CCUACGGGGGGCAGCAGUGGGGAAUAUUGGACAAUGGGCGAAAGCCUGAUCCAGCAAUGCCGCGUGUGUGAAGAAGGCCUUCGGGUUGUAAAGCACUUUUGUCCGGAAAGAAAUCCUUGGCUCUAAUACAGUCGGGGGAUGACGGUACCGGAAGAAUAAGCACCGGCUAACUACGUGCCAGCAGCCGCGGUAAUACGUAGGGUGCGAGCGUUAAUCGGAAUUACUGGGCGUAAAGCGUGCGCAGGUGGUUUGCGAGGACCGGUGUGAAAUCCCCGGGCGCAACCUGGGAACUGCAUUGGUGACUGGCAGGCUAGAGUAUGGCAGAGGGGGGUAGAAUUCCGCGUGUAGCAGUGAAAUGCGUAGAGAUGUGGAGGAAUACCGAUGGCGAAGGCAGCCCCCUGGGCCAAUACUGACGCUCAUGCACGAAAGCGUGGGGAGCAAACAGGAUUAGAUACCCUUGUAGUC
rnacentral:rRNA from 1 species